rnacentral:rRNA from 1 species
ACGGGGUGCAGCAGGCGCGAAAACUCCACAAUGUACGGAAGUACGAUGGGGUUAUCUCGAGUGCAGUCCGAUAAGGGCUGCUUUUCCAUAGAGUAAUAUCCUGUGGGAAUAAGAGGGGGGCAAGACUGGUGUCAGCCGCCGCGGUAACACCAGCCCCUCGAGUGGUGGGGACUAUUAUUUGGCCUAAAGCGUCCGUAGCUGGCUGUAUCCGUCUCCCGGUAAAUCCGGCGUCCUAAGCGUCGGUUCUCGGGUGAUACCAUACAGCUAGAGGGUGGGAUAGGUGAGCGGUAUUUCUGGGGUAGGGGCGAAAUCCUUUGAUCCCAGGAGGACCACCAGUGGCGAAGGCUGCUCGCUAGAACACGCCUGACGGUCAGGGACGAAAGCUGGGGCAGCGAACCGGAUUAGAUACCCGGGUAGUCCCAGCUGUAAACGAUGCUAGCUAGGUGUUGGGUCGGCCACGCGCCGCCCCAGUGCCGCAGGGAAGCCGUUAAGCUAGCCGCCUGGGGAGUACGGCCGCAAGGCUGAAACUUAAAGGAAUUGGCGGGGGAGCAC